rnacentral:rRNA from 1 species
AUGGAGGGUACGCCUGCUGCAGUGGACUUUGUCAUCUCAUCAGCAUGCUCGCCCGUGACAGUACACGGAAGCUUUCUCUUGCUGUUGAAAUCUCUGAAGAAUUUUAUGGAAGGGGUUGCUGCAGCUCCAGUGUGGCCCUGGAGCUCGUGGUGUGCCUCAUACUGUACCUUAACUACCUGUACGUCUGAUGGAGCAAAAGGGACGGUGUGCAUCGAACGGGUCCGGGUCGAUGAGGAAGAGGACCGGCAGAGGGGGCUCGACAAGGUGUCACAUUCAAAAGGCGCGGAUGCAUGGUUGCGGCAGCGACGCAUGGUUGCGGCAGCAAGGUCGGGGAGGCGUGUGCAGUCUACCUGGGCGCCAUGCAGGAUGGAUACGGCACGGCGGCCGGGCCGACAAGGAGCAUUUUCAUUAUUAUGGAAAAUGAUGGAUAGCAAAAUCCACAAGAUCACCAGCCGAGGGCAUGUUGCUGGCAGCUAUGCCCAUGCCAGUGUUGGCAGCUAUGCCCAUGCCAGUGUUCAGAUUCAAGGGGGUCGCGCGAUGGCGCAAAGAUUGGUAGCCACUGCUUAUGUGUUGCUUCAUCAUCAUGCCUUGGAAGCAUGGGUGGCUACCGCUGCUUGA